rnacentral:rRNA from 1 species
AUGCCGGUUCGGCCUUCAGUGGCUGGGCCCAUAAUUGGGCCCGUGGUGUGUGGGCCUCUACAGCCCGAUGCGGUGGCCGGCCCAUCUAGGGCCUUGCUCCCUCGGCCGGUCCAUAGAGGCUUGAUCUGGCUCCCGCAAGGGUUUCCCAUCCAGCCGCCUCCUCCCCUCGUAACCCCCUCCCUCGGCCCCGUCUCCUCGGCUCUGCUCCCCAGCCCGUGCACCGCCGCCCCUCCUCCCCCCGCGUUGGCCACUCCGCCGUCGCCAUCCAUGACGCGCGAAUGGGGCGACGCCGCUGGCCGGCCCAGGUGCGGCUUGGAGGACUGCCGGGACGCAUCCCGCUCCUCCCCAGAGGGUCUUCGUCGCGAGGCUGACCUACGCCGCCAGCUGUCCUCUCGGGACGCGCGCCGCUCCCCUCCCCGCGACGACCGUCGUUCGCCGGUGCGCGACGACCGUCGUUCGCCGGGCAUGAUCCCCACCGCUCCUUCCCCCGCGAUGACCGUCGGGACCGGCCCCGUUAUCCUCUGGCUGAGUCUUGGCGCUCGUCGCGGCGCCGAUCCCCUUUCCCCUUCGUGCCACCGCAAGCGCUCCCUGUCUCCCCCUCGCCUCCAGCAACAGCAGCUCGACAACGCUCCGCCUCGCCGAUACCAGCCCCGUAGAACCAGCCCAGCCUACCUCCUGCCAACAGAGGGAAUGGGGCUAAGGGCCGCCAAGGCGCAAAGAAGAAGAAGAAGAAGCGGGGUCCUGCUCGCCCCCCGCAGCGCCGGCCCCUGCCCCCGCGGCGCUGCCCUGCCCGUCUCCGGCCCCUCCCGAGACCCGCCCCCUGCUUCAACUAUGGGUUCGUGUGACACUACUAUGUCGAGUGCACCAACCCUCCGAUGUGCUAUCUGUGCAAGGACACGGGCCACCCCGCGGUUCUUUGCCCGGACCGGCCGAUCUCCGAGGAGCUCAUGA